UACGUGGGGGCCGAGCGUUGUCCGGAGUUACUGGGCGUAAAGGGCGCGCAGGCGGCGGUGCUGGCCCGGCGUGAAAGCCCCCCGGCUCAACCGGGGAGGGUCGUCGGGGACCGCACCGCUUGAGGGCGGUAGGGGCUGGUGGAAUGCCUGGUGUAGUGGUGAAAUGCGUAGAGAUCAGGCGGAACACCCGUGGCGAAGGCGGCCAGCUGGGCCGACCCUGACGCUGAGGCGCGAAGGCGUGGGGAGCGAACAGG
rnacentral:rRNA from 1 species